rnacentral:rRNA from 1 species
AUGAACGCUAGCUACAGGCUUAACACAUGCAAGUCGAGGGGCAGCAUGAGCUUAGCUUGCUAAGCUUGAUGGCGACCGGCGCACGGGUGAGUAACACGUAUCCAACCUCCCGCUUACUCAGGAAUAGCCUUUCGAAAGAAAGAUUAAUGCCUGAUGGUAUCUUAAGCACACAUGUAAUUAAGAUUAAAGAUUUAUCGGUAAGCGAUGGGGAUGCGUUCCAUUAGGUAGUAGGCGGGGUAACGGCCCACCUAGCCGACGAUGGAUAGGGGUUCUGAGAGGAAGGUCCCCCACAUUGGAACUGAGACACGGUCCAAACUCCUACGGGAGGCAGCAGUGAGGAAUAUUGGUCAAUGGGCGCGAGCCUGAACCAGCCAAGUAGCGUGAAGGAUGAAGGUCCUACGGAUUGUAAACUUCUUUUAUACGGGAAUAAAGUGGCCUACGUGUAGGCUUUUGCAUGUACCGUAUGAAUAAGCAUCGGCUAACUCCGUGCCAGCAGCCGCGGUAAUACGGAGGAUGCGAGCGUUAUCCGGAUUUAUUGGGUUUAAAGGGAGCGUAGACGGGGGAUUAAGUCAGUUGUGAAAGUUUGCGGCUCAACCGUAAAAUUGCAGUUGAUACUGGUUCCCUUGAGUGCAGUUGAGGCAGGCGGAAUUCGUGGUGUAGCGGUGAAAUGCAUAGAUAUCACGAAGAACCCCGAUUGCGAAGGCAGCCUGCUAAGCUGUAACUGACGUUGAGGCUCGAAAGUGUGGGUAUCAAACAGGAUUAGAUACCCUGGUAGUCCACACGGUAAACGAUGGAUACUCGCUGUUGGCGAUAUACUGUCAGCGGCCAAGCGAAAGCAUUAAGUAUCCCACCUGGGGAGUACGCCGGCAACGGUGAAACUCAAAGGAAUUGACGGGGGCCCGCACAAGCGGUGGAGUAUGUGGUUUAAUUCGAAGCAACGCGAAGAACCUUACCAGGCCUUGACAUCCCUUGCAGAGGUAUAGAGAUAUAUCCGAGGUUAUCAAGGAGACAGGUGGUGCAUGGUUGUCGUCAGCUCGUGCCGUGAGGUGUCGGCUUAAGUGCCAUAACGAGCGCAACCCUCGUGGCCAGUUACUAUCAGGUAAGGCUGAGGACUCUGGCCAGACUGCCAUCGUAAGAUGCGAGGAAGGUGGGGAUGACGUCAAAUCAGCACGGCCCUUACGUCCGGGGCUACACACGUGUUACAAUGGGAGGUACAGAAGGCAGCUACCCGGCGACGGGAUGCCAAUCCCGAAAGCCUCUCUCAGUUCGGACUGGAGUCUGCAACCCGACUCCACGAAGCUGGAUUCGCUAGUAAUCGCGCAUCAGCCACGGCGCGGUGAAUACGUUCCCGGGCCUUGUACACACCGCCCGUCAAGCCAUGAAAGCCGGGGGUACCUGAAGUGCGUAACCGCAAGGAGCGCCCUAGGGUAAAACCGGUAAUUGGGGCU